rnacentral:rRNA from 1 species
GACGAACGCUGGCGGCGUGCCUAAUACAUGCAAGUAGAACGCUGAAGACUUUAGCUUGCUAAAGUUGGAAGAGUUGCGAACGGGUGAGUAACGCGUAGGUAACCUGCCUACUAGCGGGGGAUAACUAUUGGAAACGAUAGCUAAUACCGCAUAACAGCAUUUAACCCAUGUUAGAUGCUUGAAAGGAGCAAUUGCUUCACUAGUAGAUGGACCUGCGUUGUAUUAGCUAGUUGGUGAGGUAACGGCUCACCAAGGCGACGAUACAUAGCCGACCUGAGAGGGUGAUCGGCCACACUGGGACUGAGACACGGCCCAGACUCCUACGGGAGGCAGCAGUAGGGAAUCUUCGGCAAUGGGGGCAACCCUGACCGAGCAACGCCGCGUGAGUGAAGAAGGUUUUCGGAUCGUAAAGCUCUGUUGUAAGAGAAGAACGUGUGUGAGAGUGGAAAGUUCACACAGUGACGGUAA